GCCCCGCUAGCUCAGCGGACAGAGCACCGCCCUCCUAAGGCGGGUGUCGCUGGUUCGACUCCAGCGCGGGGCG
rnacentral:tRNA from 1 species